GAAACACCAAUUCUCGUACGAUCACCAAGGUUAAGCAGUCUCGAGUCUGGUCAGUCCCCAGAUGGGUAACCGCUUGGGAAUACUAGGUGCUAUAA